AAAAAAUCUCCAUUUAAUAAUUUAAAAUAAAAUUUAAAAAAUAUAUAUAUUAGUGACUGGAUGGAAUACUUGUACGAAUAACAGAAAUCUAACAGCAAAAGAAUCGUACGCAAGAAGUCCACAUAGCCAUAGCUGCACAAGGAUCUUCAAAGACAACAUAUGUAGCCGACCAGAAACCUAAAAAUGUGCCUCCUGUAAGCAUUAGGCUUGCGCAAACAGCAGAAGCAUCGUGUGCUCGAGAUAAGCUUUUUGCAGUCUUUGCUGACUUUUUUUUUAAAAGAGGAGAUUCAUCGUCUGCUUCAGUACCCAAGCAGCUGGGACACAACGUGGCAUCCUUUCACAUCACCACAAUCCCAUUCAGCUGAACAAGAAGCUUCUUGAAUUUAUUUAUGUAUUUAUGUUCCAAGGACAAGCCGACAAGGAUAAAAUCCAAUUAUAAUUUAUAAAAUAAAGAUUUUUUUUCAAAAAUGAGGAAUUUAUCCAAAAAAAUCGUAAAAUCCAAUUAUAAUUUAUAAAAUAAAGAUUUUUUUCAAAAAUGAGGAAUUUAUCCAAAAAAAUCGUAAGCUCCCAUAUCAACAGUCUCUCGGCAAAACUGCUUAUUAGAGAACACCCCAACCCGUCACACCACUGCCCUGUUAUUGGGUGAGUAGAAAUUCAAUAGGUUUUGAUAUACUGUUACCCGGAAUCAUAGUCUC
rnacentral:lncRNA from 1 species